AAAAAAGGAUCCACAUGAGUCUGGAGGAUGGGCACAAAUACAGAGGAAAUGAGAGAUUCACGUCUGAGCACAACUCCGGUGUCACAAAUUCAGUGUUGUGGACAAUUGCAGAUGAAGAGGAAUGUGACACCUCUUUGAUCAGAAGAGCAACAGAUACUUUGAGAACAUAAGGAGGGAAUCUAAGUUGUCAGAAGACCAAGUGGA